rnacentral:rRNA from 1 species
AUUUAUUGCCGUAGGAUGGGACUGCGGCCUAUCAGUUUGUUGGUGAGGUAAUGGCCCACCAAGACUAUUACAGGUACGGGCUCUGAGAGGAGUAGCCCGGAGAUGGGUACUGAGACACGGACCCAGGCCCUAUGGGGCGCAGCAGGCGAGAAAACUUUGCAAUGUGCGAAAGCACGACAAGGUUAAUCCGAGUGGUUUCUGCUAAAGGAACCUUUUGUCAGUCCUAGAAACACUGAUGAAUAAGGGGUGGGCAAGUUCUGGUGUCAGCCGCCGCGGUAAAACCAGCACCUCAAGUGGUCAGGAUGAUUAUUGGGCCUAAAGCAUCCGUAGCCUGCUUUGUAAGUUUUCGGUUAAAUCCAUACGCUUAACGUAUGGGCUGCCGGGAAUACUGCAAAGCUAGGGAGUGGGAGAGGUAGACGGUAUUCGGUAGGAAGGGGUAAAAUCCUUUGAUCUAUUGAUGACCACCUGUGGCGAAGGCGGUCUACCAGAACACGUCCGACGGUGAGGGAUGAAAGCUGGGGGAGCAAACCGGAUUAGAUA